GACAUCAUCACAGCUGCCCUGUAUGUUUUAUAGCACGUUUCAGGUCACAGGACACCAGCAGAGCUCUGUUUACCCGAAGUGGAGAUGAAGGUGCCUCUCUCCAUGGCUUUGUGCUUCACCUGGAUCACCAUGGACCCUUCCAGAAGGGGAUCACCUGAGCUCCCACGCCUGUAGUGGCAUCAUCACGGGGUUCAUCUGUGAGAUGUUUAGGAUCUGUACGCAUCCCAAGAGCAACACAUCCUUGUUUCAAAUGACCCGAGUAAGGGAGAAAAGACUGGACGCAGAUGUUUGACAGCUUCUAAAGUGGUCCAGCAGCAAAGUCUUCAAACUGAGGUUCCUGAAUGAUUCUUGGCUUCAGGAAACGUCUUUAAUUGGAACCAGGUUCUUCACACAUUACAAAUGGUUCUACAUUCACUGAGAAGUUCUUCAGACAAGCAAGUUUUUCUUCUGCGAUAUCAAAAAUACAUUUGAUGAGAAGGACGUUGACCAGUCACAUGCAUGUGUUUGAACACCCCGGAACAGAUGAGCUGUUUUGUUGAUUUUCCAGGUGAGAAUAAGUUAACACACCCUCUACAGGGAACCCAAAUAUGCAAAUUUAAGUACACAAUGUCUAUUUAUUUGCAGUUGACAAAACAAUGAAACAUAUGUGCCAUAAAUUUUGCA